AGAGUUUGAUCCUGGCUCAGGAUGAACGCUAGCUACAGGCUUAACACAUGCAAGUCGAGGGGCAGCAUGGUCUUAGCUUGCUAAGGCCGAUGGCGACCGGCGCACGGGUGAGUAACACGUAUCCAACCUGCCGUCUACUCUUGGACAGCCUUCUGAAAGGAAGAUUAAUACAAGAUGGCAUCAUGAGUCCGCAUGUUCACAUGAUUAAAGGUAUUCCGGUAGACGAUGGGGAUGCGUUCCAUUAGAUAGUAGGCGGGGUAACGGCCCACCUAGUCUUCGAUGGAUAGGGGUUCUGAGAGGAAGGUCCCCCACAUUGGAACUGAGACACGGUCCAAACUCCUACGGGAGGCAGCAGUGAGGAAUAUUGGUCAAUGGGCGAGAGCCUGAACCAGCCAAGUAGCGUGAAGGAUGACUGCCCUAUGGGUUGUAAACUUCUUUUAUAAAGGAAUAAAGUCGGGUAUGCAUACCCGUUUGCAUGUACUUUAUGAAUAAGGAUCGGCUAACUCCGUGCCAGCAGCCGCGGUAAUACGGAGGAUCCGAGCGUUAUCCGGAUUUAUUGGGUUUAAAGGGAGCGUAGAUGGAUGUUUAAGUCAGUUGUGAAAGUUUGCGGCUCAACCGUAAAAUUGCAGUUGAUACUGGAUAUCUUGAGUGCAGUUGAGGCAGGCGGAAUUCGUGGUGUAGCGGUGAAAUGCUUAGAUAUCACGAAGAACUCCGAUUGCGAAGGCAGCCUGCUAAGCUGCAACUGACAUUGAGGCUCGAAAGUGUGGGUAUCAAACAGGAUUAGAUACCCUGGUAGUCCACACGGUAAACGAUGAAUACUCGCUGUUUGCGAUAUACAGCAAGCGGCCAAGCGAAAGCGUUAAGCAUUCCACCUGGGGAGUACGCCGGCAACGGUGAAACUCAAAGGAAUUGACGGGGGCCCGCACAAGCGGAGGAACAUGUGGUUUAAUUCGAUGAUACGCGAGGAACCUUACCCGGGCUUAAAUUGCAGAUGAAUUACGGUGAAAGCCGUAAGCCGCAAGGCAUCUGUGAAGGUGCUGCAUGGUUGUCGUCAGCUCGUGCCGUGAGGUGCCGGCUUAAGUGCCAUAACGAGCGCAACCCUUGUUGUCAGUUACUAACAGGUUCUGCUGAGGACUCUGACAAGACUGCCAUCGUAAGAUGUGAGGAAGGUGGGGAUGACGUCAAAUCAGCACGGCCCUUACGUCCGGGGCUACACACGUGUUACAAUGGGGGGUACAGAGGGCCGCUACCACGCGAGUGGAUGCCAAUCCCCAAGACCUCUCUCAGUUCGGACUGGAGUCUGCAACCCGACUCACGAAGCUGGAUUCGCUAGUAAUCGCGCAUCAGCCACGGCGCGGUGAAUACGUUCCCGGGCCUUGUACACACCGCCCGUCAAGCCAUGGGAGCCGGGGGUACCUGAAGUGCGUAACCGCGAGGAGCGCCCUAGGGUAAAACUGGUGACUGGGGCUAAGUCGUAACAAGGUA
rnacentral:rRNA from 1 species